UAAACUGAUGCCAAUAAUAGGCGAGCAGCUGUUAACUGCUAGUUUGCGGGAGAGAUACCUGCCAGUUU
rnacentral:tRNA from 1 species